UCCACCUGCAGAGACCAAGCCAAACAUUGAAACAUAUACCGAGAUUUUUGACACUUUCGAGUUUUUUGAUACCCUACAAGUCACCCGCACAUGAACAAUAAUAAAUCCCCCCCCCCACACACACACACACACACACACAAAAAAAAACAUCAAAGAAAAAAUGACAAUUUGUAUGAUCAGAGAUUCUCCAUCAUUCA